ensembl:lncRNA
UUUUUUUGUUUUUUUUAAAAAAAACAACAAUGUUUUGAUUAUGUGGCAUGUCCACGAUACAGAGUGAACGAUAAGUACAAUACUUUAGAGCAUUAGAAGUUAUUUGAAUUACAGCUGGCACUACUAUCUGAGCUGCUGUUAUAGAAAAUUAAUCAACACCUUCUGAUCUGAUCAGAUUUGAGAAUCCAAGAGCGCUUUGGUUUAAAAAAAAAAAAAAAAAAAAAAAACCAAGCUUCAAAUAUGUGCAUCAAAAAUACUUUCCCUCCCUACUACUACAUACAUCAUGAGUUGUUCUGUUUAUAGCUGGGGAAAUGUUUUGAUCUAUUUCAGAAAAUAAUAAUGACACACUGCUUCACAGUAGUCCAGUCAUCACAUAACAGUACUCCAGUUCAUCACUGAAGACACAUGGAUUCCAGCUUUCAUCCAGUAAUGUUCCAGUCAAGACAAGAGUGAGUGAUAGAGAUAGAAGACAAGGAUGACUCACUACGCCCUCAAUGAACAAAGAGAUCAUUUCAUUUCGUUCAGCGGAAGAAGGAAAUGGGGGUCAUGGAAAUGAAAUGACACAGGAGAUAGACGCAAGGAUUUCUUGACUUUUCUGCUGCUCUCUAGACCCUGUCCUUAAUUUGUUGCUUCUGGCAGCUGGUCGCACAUGAUUCGAGAGUUAGUGUCAUUUAGGGGGUCAUAUUGUCAUUUAGGGCGGUCUAGCGUUUUUGAGAUCUCAGCAAAGAAGUGUUCAUUAGUCUGCGGAAAAGUCUCUUGGAUCCGAGUUCAAGCAGGCUUUUAGAAAACUGACUCAUUUUGAUUUGCAGCCAAAAACGUUAUUUUUGCUUUGAGUGAAUUUGGACCCUGUGACAGACUCGAAACGAGCGUCGUUUCGAUUCAUUUCAUUAGCAUAUCUGGCAAGGGCAUUUAAGAUUUCCAGCAUUAUGGACCUUCUUGAUGGAUUGGCUUGAUUUUCAUGGUCUUUGUCUGCGCAGUUCAUUCUCAAACAAGCCAUUAGUUUGAUUGAGAUCGAAUGCCAGAUGAGACGGUGGAGAAAAAAAAAAAAAAAAGAAAAGAAAAUAAAAAGGACAUUCAUAUCUGUGGGAGAAAAGACAUUAAGAAGGAAAAUAAUGCACUGAAGGCUCGACUGAUGAUCACUACUUAUACUAAUGCAGGUGUAUUAAGACUGACAUUUAGGACGAGGCUACAAAUUCUUUCAAAGUUCUGACCUUUUCCCCUUGGUAAAGGCUUCCGACAAGCUUUUAAGCCCGCGUUCGUGUCCCAUCUUCUUUCCAUUCCAGGAUUCCCAGAAUCGGUCGAACGCACAUCUUACACCUUUUAGCCGUGACUCCAAUUUGUCUCAGACAUCCUGUGCUUUUACUUCAGCACAAUACCUUCUCCUCGUCCCCCGUGUCGUCCUGUCCUCUUCAUUACCUGCGGGCCCAUCUGCCCUGCUACAGUCAUCUCACUCCCAUCUGCACAGUGUAAUUCACACCACCGCCAUUACAAAUGUGUUUGGCUAACACUACUGAGUCUCAAUCUGAGCUGCUGUAGCAAUAUCUCCUCUCUGUGCAUGGAUGAUUAAAGCAGGACGUCGGAUAGGAUUUUUCUCUCCAGCAUAUGUGUAGAUGCUCAUGCCUGGAUGGUAAUGGUGGCCCUCUGGCAAUAACAGGUGGCUGCUCUGGAGGCUUUCAUGCCACGCCACGUCUCCCUCGAAUUCCUCUGGAAUGGACAGAUUGAGAGCAGAUGCUGUCGCUUCACUCAAACACUGUUUUCUGCCACUCCUGCGUGCGAUAGCGAUUUAACAUGGGAGUGUCACACUUGUUCUGGAAGGGAGACACUAAAUCUGGUCUUUUUUUUUAUUCUACCCCUACCGCUGGUAUCCUUUUAAAUCAUUCACCCCCCAUCACACGUCAGACGAUGGAUUCAAGUGCGCAUAUAUUAACAGCCUGAGGAGUGGCCUCGCUUGUCAAACGUGACCCCGCCCUGCCUCUUUCACCGUCUGUUUCGCCCACGGCUCAAGUAAAGCCCAUUGCUCAGGGGACAGAUAACAUUUUGCCUCACAACUAGACGAUGCUUUUAUCCCACAGGUAAAGGGAUGGAAAAAUCCUUGAAAAAUAUUCUAAAAAUCAGCAGAUGUGUAAUGUGCGUGCAGAUGUGCAAGGCCUCCAAAUAUAUCCUUAGUCUGUAGUAAGCCUUAUUGAUUAUAGGAUGAUGUGCAUGUAUCUUUGUCAGACUUUCACGGGAAGCAACAGGAAUUUCUUUGCUCAUGUCAUUGAAAUCUAGCAAGCUGUGAGCACAGAAAUAACACCACCAUGUGCUGUAUCCAUAUCCCAGUUUACAGCAUGGAUUAUUAGCAACCUGAGCACUCGAUAGAAGACCCACCCAGGAUCUCGCACGCUGGAGCUCUGCCAGAGUCGAGAGGAUGAAAGAGGAGACACCGCCUACAGUCCCCAUCAGCAUGCUUCCUGCAGAGACUGAGGCUGAAGGACGUGUCCAGGAGGGUCCGGAGUGCCAACAGAGGAGAUAGAGGGCCACACCAUAUCCGUCCUCCAGACCAGGAGAGGACGAGGGACAGGAACAGACAGUGGAGCAUAAAGGGGACACAAGGAGACACAACACCUCAUGCCUCAG